UACGGGGGGGGCAAGCGUUGUUCGGAAUUACUGGGCGUAAAGGGCUCGUAGGUGGCCAACUAAGUCAGACGUGAAAUCCCUCGGCUUAACCGGGGAACUGCGUCUGAUACUGGAUGGCUUGAGUUCGGGAGAGGGAUGCGGAAUUCCAGGUGUAGCGGUGAAAUGCGUAGAUAUCUGGAGGAACACCGGUGGCGAAGGCGGCGUCCUGGACCAACACUGACACUGAGGAGCGAAAGCCAGGGGAGCAAACGGG
rnacentral:rRNA from 1 species